AACGAACGCUGGCGGCAUGCCUAACACAUGCAAGUCGAACGAGACCUUCGGGUCUAGUGGCGCACGGGUGCGUAACGCGUGGGAACCUGCCCUUAGGUUCGGAAUAACUCCCCGAAAGGGGUGCUAAUACCGGAUAAUGUCUUCGGACCAAAGAUUUAUCGCCUUUGGAUGGGCCCGCGUUGGAUUAGCUAGUUGGUGGGGUAAAAGCCUACCAAGGCGACGAUCCAUAGCUGGUCUGAGAGGAUGAUCAGCCACACUGGGACUGAGACACGGCCCAGACUCCUACGGGAGGCAGCAGUGGGGAAUAUUGGACAAUGGGCGAAAGCCUGAUCCAGCAAUGCCGCGCGAGUGAUGAAGGCCUUAGGGUUGUAAAGCUCUUUUACCCGGGAUGAUAAUGACAGUACCGGGAGAAUAAGCUCCGGCUAACUCCGU
rnacentral:rRNA from 1 species